AUGAUGGCGGCGCAGAUGAAGGCCUUCUUUGACUCCACCGGCGGCCUCUGGCAGGCGCAGUCCCUCGCCGGCAAGCCCGCGGGCGUCUUCUUCGCCACAGGCACCCAGGGCGGCGGACAGGAGACCACAGCUCUCACGGCCGUGACGCAGCUGACGCACCACGGCAUGCUGUUCGUGCCCGUCGGAUACACGCACGGCGCGGGCAUGUUCUGCAUGGACGAGGUCAAGGGCGGCAGCCCGUACGGAGCUGGCACCUUCGCCGGCGCCGAUGGCAGCAGGGUACCCAGCGACGCCGAGCUCGCCUUGGCGGCGCACCAGGGGAAGUACUUCUCUGGCGUCACCAAGAAGCUCAAGGCCGUCUGA
rnacentral:rRNA from 1 species